CUUCAGAGACCUUACUUUUACCAUCUUACCAUGCUGUCUUCUAAACAGGGGUAGGACACUUUAAAGGAAAUACUGCCAUUUCAACCUGGAACCUCAGCCUGUCCUAUUCCCCACAACACUAUGAGCCAUUUCUAAGAGAUCAGCUCCACCGUCAGAGACAAGGCAUAACCUCACAAGCCCCUCCUACAUGCACACUAAACUUCACAGGGAAAUGACAAAUUUAAGACCAAGGGAGAAGAGUAAGACCUACUGUUUGACUUGGCCAACCAUUGAGACACGGGCAGACUCCAGAUUUCGAAUCUGGCCACUCUUCACACUGGGAAAGAAAAGAAGGAAGAGAGAAGGUUAUUCAGUAUCCAUUGUAUCACAUCAUUGGAAUCAAAUAAAUAAUUCUACAGAUUAUGUGAGACCUAAU
rnacentral:sRNA from 1 species